rnacentral:lncRNA from 10 species
GCACACCAACAUGGUACAUGUAUACAUAUGUAACAAACCUACACGUUGUGCACAUGUACCCUAAAUCUUAAAGUAUAAUUAAAAAAAAAUACUCAUUGGAUAGGAAAAAAAAAAAACAAGAUACAGCUUCACCCAUUCAGGCAUCUGGGAUAACUGAUCUAAGAGACAAUAUCUUCUUGCUCUGAGAGUCUUGAAUUGUUAAUGUAAUAUUGAAUUUUCCUUAAUAAAUAACCCAUAUAUUUAUUUCUUUACUAUCUGCUACAAUUUCUCUUUCUUUCCAUUAAUAUCCAAACUUUUUCACCUUUGGAAGGAACAUUAGAAUCACCACUGUGCUGGGGUCUUUAUUGCAGGUAGCAAUACAAGUGCAGCAAGCAGCUGCUCCUCAGUCCACAGGCAUUCAGACAGGGUAAUGUUAUGUAGGUGCAGAAUGAGUGAGCUAUUUUUACUACCAGGCAAUAUAGCUGCAUUCACUGUUAGCCCCAGUUUUGGUAGAUGGAGAGAAGGCACAACUCACCCAUGUGCCCUUAGGAAUUUUGACAGAAGGUUAAAAACAUAGUUACAGUUUUUGCUCAGAAAUUUCCCUGCUGUUCCACCACUUGCAGUGGCAGUUCUGGUCCUAGUGAGAGGUGAAUCCAGCUGGGCUUCUGAGUCUGGUGGGGACUUGGAGAACUGUUCUGUCUAGCUAAAGGAUUGUAAACGCACCAAUCAGCACUCUGUAAAAACGGACCAAUCAGCACUCUGUAAAAUGGACCAAUCAGCAGGAUGUGGGCGGGGCCAAAUAAGGGAAUAAAAGCUGGCCACCCGAGCCAGCAGCUGCAACCUGAUGGGGUCACCUUACAUACCUUGGAGGAUUUGUUCUUCUGCUCUUCACAAUAAAUCUUGCUGCUGCUCAGUCUUUUCGUCCACACUACCUUUAUGAGCUGUAAAACUUACUAGGAAGGUCUGAGGCUUCACUCCUGAAGUCAGUGACACCACGAACCCACCGGGAGGAACAAACAACUCCCGACGCUCCACCUUUUAGAGCUGUAACACUCACUGUAAAGGUCUGCAGCCUCACACCUGAAGUCAAGUGAGACCACGAACCCACCAGAAGGAAGAAACUCUGGACACAUCUGAACAUCUGAAGGAACGAAUUCCGGAUACACCAUCUUUAAGAACUGUAACACUCACCGCGAGGGUCCGCAGCUUCAUUCUUGAACUCAGUGAGACCAAGAACACACUGGAAGGAUCCAAUUCCAGACACACUAGGACCACUGCAUCAGCGCUGCUGUGUUAGGGUCUCCACGACUGAGCUGGUCCCAGCAAGAGGUGCCCAACAUGGAGGCUCGAACCCAGGUCGAAGGGUCACCAGAGUGAUGGUUGGAGAAUGUGGAACUAAGCUGGAGUACACCCG